CUCCAUGUCCUCAGCACAUGGCAUAAACUCAGGGAUUGGCAGCAUCAUAAGAACCUAUGGAGUGAGCAAUGUCUUACUUCAGAAGCUGAUGACCAAUGGAAAGCAAGGACCAAGAUGACACAGGAGCCAACUGUUAGCAGCACGAAGGAGGUGGAGUCAGGCAUGACAGCAUGGAAGGAGUCCAACCACCACCAUCCAAGGCUGACCAGAAACCACUUUAAGCCUCUUCCAUCCUGCUACGGUUUUACACCUCCCUAAAGAUAUAUAAUCAUGGGUUAAUAAGGCCCAGUAACCAUGGCUACACCCCAUAAUUCCCAACAUUCUUAUUUAUCCCUCCUCUUGACAAGCAGCCACCACUCUUCUCAAGCCUUGUCCCUGGCAGAUAGCCACAAUUCCUUUUCACUGAACUCUCCCCCUUGAAAGCCCCAUUUUGACCUUUUCUUUUCACAGCCCCCCCUUUAUGCUCAUGGCCCUAUAAAAGACCUCAGAGCCUGUGCGAGAGUUAUUGGUCUGGUCUAAGUGCCAGGGCAGUUCCUG
rnacentral:lncRNA from 1 species